CACGAGUAACGUAUGUGAUGAGGAAUGAAUAUUUGAAACCCAAACUUACAUCCUACAGCUUCGUGGUUUGAAAAUAUUGAAAAUAAAAUGUAGCCGAGAUGAGAGGAAGCAGAUUCGGCAUGGAGUGUGACAAGCCAUUGUCAGAAAAAGGAAAUCUGAUGAAGAUGUGUGAGAACAAAAGACGAUGCAUGCAAAAUACAUGAUCACACCUCGCACCCGACUUGGCGCGGCGCGGCGUUAGAAAGAGUGGGCGUGACCUGGGCAGACGACAGUUGUGCGUGCGUGCGUGCGUGUGCUGCUGCUGCUGCUGCUGCUGUGUUUAAAACAGCACUGCCGUUCACUCGCUAGUAUCUACAUCUGAUCUAUUGAUAAAACAAGGCAAAUCUGCACGCGCAGAUGCACGUGAAAGCGAAAGUAGACGGUUCAUCCAUUACCUCCAAGCACCUCGGCUUGACAAUUUUGCGAAGAGACAUUCACGUUGCCAAGGUGUCGGACGCAAUACUUAAAACCUACUUUUUUUUUCUUUUAAUAUCCUCCAAAAAUACCCGGCACAAAAGGUUGGAGGUAAUUUAUGUCGAGGGGGAAAUUUUUUUUUUUGGGGGCAGAACCAAGACUCAUGCUCGUCUCCUGACCUGACACAAUCGCUUGACACCAGCUGCACUCGCCUGCGUACCAUGUGUCCCGAUCCUGAACCGGAAGUGGAGCUGGCGGCCAUCUUGCGAGUUCUACGUGAUCUUAAUGCGAAGAUAAACCAUGGCCGGGGCUGCAAGACGAGAGAUGGCCGUGCAGCCAUGACGCACUUCGCACGGGUCUGUGGGUCCGCCAUGCGAUAGGUGUGACCCCCGGUGUGACGUCACUCACCUGGCGGCCCAGACGCACGUCACAGCUGCCAAACGAUCCUUUCGUCACUGGGCGCAGUUUCUCGCACAUACAGGCGUGAGUUGUUGUGCGUGAGACAGCGACCACUUGGCGGGAGGAUAUCACGUCAGUCGUCACGCAUGGAGUGUCAGCUGUGUCCACACCCGAGGGGGUUGUCGUCAAAGAUGGCGCUGAUCGGUCCCUCGGUCUCGGGCCGGAGUCGGUCAGUAUGAUGAGAGAAGUAAAGACGACAGAAGCCGCGCAUCCUUCGAGUGUCCGGCCAGGUAAUGCUCGUGAUCACCUUUACAACAAAGCAGCUCAGGCUCCGUCUUUUCCGUGCAACUGAGUGGAAGGACAAACAUUACACCGGAUGCGGACACGGUUCAAGCCCUGGAUCGUAAGAGGAAUACGAUGCAACAUCUAUACUGCAAUAAAAAACUGCACCAACUGUCCCAGCAACGGCGAACACGUGAUGUACGACAGGUGUAACUACUACCAUCGGAUCAGAGAAAGGGGUGAAAGCUUUCAGUGCACCACCCCCUUCCCAACUCGUCUCCUCCAGUGGGGACCACAACAAGACGAUUUCAGGGCUACCUACACCUUUCCUACUGUGACAAAUACUUCGGUUAACCUGGAUUACUUCAGUGAAAUAGGACUGAAGACCGUUACCCACCUGUUCUGAACACAAAUGCCGAGCUAUCAUCGUCUUGCUCUGCCUCGCUUCAGUUGCUGACUCGGUGCAAAAAGACCAUCAACCAACCAACCAACCUGCUCCAGAGACAGUAAGUGACAGCGACUGGUAUACAUCGCCGACCUGUAGCGCCAUUCACAGACUUAAUUGUUUUAUUUGCUUUGCAUCAAUUUUUUUUUUCACUCUUCGUUUUCUAACUACGCCCAAUGUUUUCAACUAAUUAUCACAAUUAAGUUAAACAGUUUCGGCUGAUUAGCUGCAUUCUGUGAUCGCAGUCUAUUGAGCCAUGUGUGAUAACAUGUAUACAAAAUAGUUUCUAGUAAUUAAACUUUCCACAUGGCUGAUAAUAC